GUACCCGCGGCAAGACGGAAAGACCCCGUGAACCUUUACUAUAGCUUGACACUGAACAUUGAGCCUUGAUGUGUAGGAUAGGUGGGAGGCUUUGAAGUGUGGACGCCAGUCUGCAUGGAGCCGGCCUUGAAAUACCACCCUUUAAUGUUUGAUGUUCUAACGUGGACCCGUGAUCCGGGUUGCGGACAGUGUCUGGUGGGUAGUUUGACUGGGGCGGUCUCCUCCUAAAGAGUAACGGAGGAGCACGAAGGUUGGCUAAUCCUGGUCGGACAUCAGGAGGUUAGUGCAAUGGCAUAAGCCAGCUUGACUGCGAGCGUGACGGCGCGAGCAGGUGCGAAAGCAGGUCAUAGUGAUCCGGUGGUUCUGAAUGGAAGGGCCAUCGCUCAACGGAUAAAAGGUACUCCGGGGAUAACAGGCUGAUACCGCCCAAGAGUUCAUAUCGACGGCGGUGUUUGGCACCUCGAUGUCGGCUCAUCACAUCCUGGGGCUGAAGUAGGUCCCAAGGGUAUGGCUGUUCGCCAUUUAAAGUGGUACGCGAGCUGGGUUUAGAACGUCGUGAGACAGUUCGGUCCCUAUCUGCCGUGGGCGCUGGAGAACUGAGGGGGGCUGCUCCUAGUACGAGAGGACCGGAGUGGACGCAUCACUGGUGUUCGGGUUGUCAUGCCAAUGGCACUGCCCGGUAGCUAAAUGCGGAAGAGAUAAGUGCUGAAAGCAUCUAAGCACGAAACUUGCCCCGAGAUGAGUUCUCCCUGAGACUUAGAGUCUCCUGAAGGAACGUUGAAGACGACGACGUUGAUAGGCCGGGUGUGUAAGCGCAGCGAUGCGUUGAGCUAACCGGUACUAAUGAACCGUGAGGCUUAACCUUACA
rnacentral:rRNA from 1 species